rnacentral:rRNA from 1 species
UACGUAGGGUGCGAGCGUUGUCCGGAAUUAUUGGGCGUAAAGAGCUCGUAGGCGGCCUGUUGCGUCCGCUGUGAAAGCCCGGGGCUUAACCCCGGGUCUGCAGUGGAUACGGGCAGGCUAGAGGUAGGUAGGGGAGAAUGGAAUUCUCGGUGUAGCGGUGAAAUGCGCAGAUAUCAGGAGGAACACCGGUGGCGAAGGCGGGUCUCUGGGCCGAUACUGACGCUGAGGAGCGAAAGCGUGGGGAGCGAACAGG